rnacentral:rRNA from 1 species
UACGAAGGGGGCUAGCGUUGCUCGGAAUCACUGGGCGUAAAGGGCGUGUAGGCGGUCGAGUAAGUGGAAUGUGAAAUGCCCCGGCUCACCCGGGGACCUGCAUCCCAAACUGCUCGGCUUGAGUAUGGGAGAGGAUGAGGGAAUUCCUGGUGUAGCGGUGAAAUGCGUAGAGAUCCGGAGGAACACCAGAGGCGAAGGCGGCCUACUGGGCGUGCACCUGACGCUGAGCCGCGAAAGCCAGGGGAGCGAACGGG